CAGAACGUCGUGAGACAGUUCGGUCCCUAUCCGUCGCGGGCGUAGGAAAUUUGAGAGGAGCUGUCCUUAGUACGAGAGGACCGGGAUGGACUGACCUCUGGUGUACCAGUUGUUCCGCCAGGAGCAUAGCUGGGUAGCUAAGUCGGGAAGGGAUAAACGCUGAAGGCAUCUAAGCGUGAAGCCCACCUCAAGAUAAGAUUUCCCAUAGAGUAAUCUAGUAAGAUCCCUUGAAGAACACAAGGUUGAUAGGUGAGGGGUGUAAGUGUGGUAACAUAUUUAGCUGACUCAUACUAAUAGAUCGAGGGCUUGACCA
rnacentral:rRNA from 1 species